rnacentral:rRNA from 1 species
GUUAUAUGGUCAAGUGAAGAAGCGCAUACGGUGGAUGCCUUGGCAGUCAGAGGCGAUGAAAGACGUGGUAGCCUGCGAAAAGCUUCGGRGAGUCGGCAAACAGACUGUGAUCCGGAGAUGUCUGAAUGGGGGAACCCAGCCAUCAUAAGAUGGUUAUCUUGUACUGAAUACAUAGGUGCAAGARGCGAACCAGGGGAACUGAAACAUCUAAGUACCCUGAGGAAAAGAAAUCAACCGAGAUUCCCUUAGUAGUGGCGAGCGAACGGGGACCAGCCCUUAAGUUGUAUUGAGAUUAGCGGAACGUUCUGGAAAGGACGGCCAUAGUGGGUGAUAGCCCUGUACGCGAAAAUCCCUUUGYAAUGAAAUCGAGUAGGACGGGGCACGAGAAACCUUGUCUGAAUAUGGGGGGACCAUCCUCCAAGGCUAAAUACUACUGACUGACCGAUAGUGAACCAGUACCGUGAGGGAAAGGCGAAAAGAACCGCGGAGAGCGGAGUGAAAUAGAUCCUGAAACCGUAUGCGUACAAGCAGUGGGAGCCCACUUUGUUGGGUGACUGCGUACCUUUUGUAUAAUGGGUCAGCGACUUAUUUUCAGUGGCGAGCUUAACCGAAUAGGGGAGGCGUAGCGAAAGCGAGUCUUAAUAGGGCGUCUAGUCGCUGGGAAUAGACCCGAAACCGGGCGAUCUAUCMAUGGGCAGGUUGAAGGUUGGGUAACACUAACUGGAGGACCGAACCGACUACCGUUGAAAAGUUAGCGGAUGACCUGUGGAUCGGAGUGAAAGGCUAAUCAAGCUCGGAGAUAGCUGGUUCUCCUCGAAAGCUAUUUAGGUAGCGCCUCAUGUAUCACUGUAGGGGGUAGAGCACUGUUUCGGCUAGGGGGUCAUCCCGACUUACCAAACCGAUGCAAACUCCGAAUACCUACAAGUGCCGAGCAUGGGAGACACACGGCGGGUGCUAACGUCCGUCGUGAAAAGGGAAACAACCCAGACCGUCAGCUAAGGUCCCAAAGUCAUGGUUAAGUGGGAAACGAUGUGGGAAGGCUUAGACAGCUAGGAGGUUGGCUUAGAAGCAGCCACCCUUUAAAGAAAGCGUAAUAGCUCACUAGUCGAGUCGGCCUGCGCGGAAGAUGUAACGGGGCUCAAACCAUGCACCGAAGCUACGGGUAUCAUCUUAUGAUGAUGCGGUAGAGGAGCGUUCUGUAAGCCUGUGAAGGUGAGUUGAGAAGCUUGCUGGAGGUAUCAGAAGUGCGAAUGCUGACAUGAGUAACGACAAUGGGUGUGAAAAACACCCACGCCGAAAGACCAAGGUUUCCUGCGCAACGUUAAUCGACGCAGGGUUAGUCGGUCCCUAAGGCGAGGCUGAAAAGCGUAGUCGAUGGAAAACAGGUUAAUAUUCCUGUACUUCUGGUUAUUGCGAUGGAGGGACGGAGAAGGCUAGGCCAGCCUGGCGUUGGUUGUCCAGGUUUAAGGUGGUAGGCUGAGAUCUUAGGUAAAUCCGGGAUCUCAAGGCCGAGAGCUGAUGACGAGUGUUCUUUAGAACACGAAGUGGUUGAUGCCAUGCUUCCAAGAAAAGCUUCUAAGCUUCAGGUAACCAGGAACCGUACCCCAAACCGACACAGGUGGUUGGGUAGAGAAUACCAAGGCGCUUGAGAGAACUCGGGUGAAGGAACUAGGCAAAAUGGCACCGUAACUUCGGGAGAAGGUGCGCCGGUGAGGGUGAAGCAUUUACUGCGUAAGCCCACGCCGGUCGAAGAUACCAGGCCGCUGCGACUGUUUAUUAAAAACACAGCACUCUGCAAACACGAAAGUGGACGUAUAGGGUGUGACGCCUGCCCGGUGCCGGAAGGUUAAUUGAUGGGGUUAGCGCAAGCGAAGCUCUUGAUCGAAGCCCCGGUAAACGGCGGCCGUAACUAUAACGGUCCUAAGGUAGCGAAAUUCCUUGUCGGGUAAGUUCCGACCUGCACGAAUGGCGUAACGAUGGCGGCGCUGUCUCCACCCGAGACUCAGUGAAAUUGAAAUCGCUGUGAAGAUGCAGUGUAUCCGCGGCUAGACGGAAAGACCCCGUGAACCUUUACUAUAGCUUUGCACUGGACUUUGAAUUUGCUUGUGUAGGAUAGGUGGGAGGCUUUGAAGCGUGGACGCCAGUCUGCGUGGAGCCAACCUUGAAAUACCACCCUGGCAACUUUGAGGUUCUAACUCAGGUCCGUUAUCCGGAUCGAGGACAGUGUAUGGUGGGUAGUUUGACUGGGGCGGUCUCCUCCUAAAGAGUAACGGAGGAGUACGAAGGUGCGCUCAGACCGGUCGGAAAUCGGUCGUAGAGUAUAAAGGCAAAAGCGCGCUUGACUGCGAGACAGACACGUCGARCAGGUACGAAAGUAGGUCUUAGUGAUCCGGUGGUUCUGUAUGGAAGGGCCAUCGCUCAACGGAUAAAAGGUACUCCGGGGAUAACAGGCUGAUACCGCCCAAGAGUUCAUAUCGACGGCGGUGUUUGGCACCUCGAUGUCGGCUCAUCACAUCCUGGGGCUGAAGCCGGUCCCAAGGGUAUGGCUGUUCGCCAUUUAAAGUGGUACGCGAGCUGGGUUUAGAACGUCGUGAGACAGUUCGGUCCCUAUCUGCCGUGGACGUUUGAGAUUUGAGAGGGGCUGCUCCUAGUACGAGAGGACCGGAGUGGACGAACCUCUGGUGUUCCGGUUGUCACGCCAGUGGCAUUGCCGGGUAGCUAUGUUCGGAAAAGAUAACCGCUGAAAGCAUCUAAGCGGGAAACUUGCCUCAAGAUGAGAUCUCACUGGAACMUUGAGUUCCCURAAGGGCCGUCGAAGACUACGACGUUGAUAGGUUGGGUGUGUAAGCGCUGUGAGGCGUUGAGCUAACCAAUACUAAUUGCCCGUGAGGCUUGACCAUAUAACACCCAAGCAAUU